GGGUUCGUAGCUCAGCCAGGUAGAGCGUCUGGCUCUUAACCAGAAAGUCGUGGGUCCGAAUCCCACCGAACCCG
rnacentral:tRNA from 2 species